rnacentral:rRNA from 1 species
AUGCGGUACCUAGAGCUACCGUUAUCCACUCAUUGUCCCAAGAAGUCAGUCUAUCAAUUCCUGGUGGAUAAGGUGGAGGCCAAGCUUCCGCCAUGGCAAGGAAAAAAUAUCAAAACGGCCGGUCAUACCUCUCUCGUCAAAUCAGUGUUGACAUCCGUGGUUAUCUAUCACAUUUCAACACUAGAUAUACCUCGGACACCAAUGAAAGCAUCACCAAGAUUCAACGUGCCUUCCUAUGGGCUGGAACCGAGCAGGUCUCAAGCGGGAAAUAAAGUGAACUGGAAGACGGUAUGUCGACCUACCAACCUUGGCGGUCUCAGCAUUCUGGACCUCGACAAGUUUGCUAGAGCUCUCGGACUUCAAUGGUUGUGGUUUGCCUAG